CCAGGCUGCCCUGGCUAGUGGGGGCUCUGGUGGGAUGAUUCUUAAAAUAUGUAAGAGAGGAAAAUACAAAUAUGUGUAAUUCAUAGAAAGUCUUACCUUAUGCAAGGAUAAGAUAUACAAAUUUAGGAUAGUGAUUAUGCCAUGAUAUGUUUGAAGGACAACUCUCCUUAGCAUCUGUAGUGCAUGGUUCUGGUCAAGUGCUGCCUUGUUUGUUUAUUUUUUACUAUGUCCAUCUUCAGAAGAGUUGCUGACUUAACAACAUCUGGCAUGGUGGUUCACUUUGUUC
rnacentral:lncRNA from 1 species